CUUUCCCUCUGGCGGUAGGCCUAACACAUGCAAGUCGAACGGCAGCACAGUAAGAGCUUGCUCUUACGGGUGGCGAGUGGCGGACGGGUGAGGAAUACAUCGGAAUCUACUUUUUCGUGGGGGAUAACGUAGGGAAACUUACGCUAAUACCGCAUACGACCUACGGGUGAAAGCAGGGGAUCUUCGCACCUUGCGCGAUUGAAUGAGCCGGUGUCGGAUUAGUUAGUUGGCGGGUUAAAGGCCCACCAAGGCGACGAUCCGUAGCUGGUCUGAGAGGAUGGACCGCGCCACUGGAACUGAGAGACGAUACAGACUCCGAGGGGCGGCAGAAGCGGGGAAUAUUGGCAACUGGGGGGAAGCCUGAUCCAGCCAUGCCGCGUGGGUGAAGAAGGGCUGCGUGUUGGAAAGCGCUUUUGUGGUGAAAGAAAAUCAGCAGGUUAAUACCACGCUGUUCUGCCGGUACCGGAAGAAUAAGCACCGGUUACCUGGGU
rnacentral:rRNA from 1 species